ACAUCCAGAGAACUUAGCAGAGAUGCUUGGUGCCUUCGGGAACUCUGAGACAGGUGCUGCAUGGCUGUCGUCAGCUCGUGUUGUGAAAUGUUGGGUUAAGUCCCGNAACGAGCGCAACCCUUAUCCUUUGUUGCCAGCGGUUCGGCCGGGAACUCAAAGGAGACUGCCGGUGAUAAACCGGAGGAAGGUGGGGAUGACGUCAAGUCAUCAUGGCCCUUACGGCCAGGGCUACACACGUGCUACAAUGGCGCAUACAAAGAGAAGCGACCUCGCGAGAGCAAGCGGACCUCAUAAAGUGCGUCGUAGUCCGGAUUGGAGUCUGCAACUCGACUCCAUGAAGUCGGAAUCGCUAGUAAUCGUAGAUCAGAAUGCUACGGUGAAUACGUUCCCGGGCCUUGUACACACCGCCCGUCACACCAUGGGAGUGGGUUGCAAAAGAAGUAGGUAGCUUAACCUUCGGGAGGGCGCUUACCACUUUGUGAUUCAUGACUGGGGUGAAGUCGUAACAAGGUAGGCGUAGCGAG
rnacentral:rRNA from 1 species